rnacentral:rRNA from 1 species
AGUGAACGCUGGCGGUAGGCCUAUCACAUGCAAGUCGAACGGCAGCACAGUAAGAGCUUGCUCUUACGGGUGGCGAGUGGCGGACGGGUGAGGAAUACAUCGGAAUCUACUUUUUCGUGGGGGAUAACGUAGGGAAACUUACGCUAAUACCGCAUACGACCUACGGGUGAAAGCAGGGGAUCUUCGGACCUUGCGCGAUUGAAUGAGCCGAUGUCGGAUUAGCUAGUUGGCGGGGUAAAGGCCCACCAAGGCGACGAUCCGUAGCUGGUCUGAGAGGAUGAUCAGCCACACUGGAACUGAGACACGGUCCAGACUCCUACGGGAGGCAGCAGUGGGGAAUAUUGGACAAUGGGCGCAAGCCUGAUCCAGCCAUACCGCGUGGGUGAAGAAGGCCUUCGGGUUGUAAAGCCCUUUUGUUGGGAAAGAAAAGCAGCAGGUUAAUACCCCGCUGUUCCGACGGUACCCAAAGAAUAAGCACCGGCUAACUUCGUG